rnacentral:rRNA from 1 species
GAUGAACCCUAGCGGCAGGCCUAAUACAUGCAAGUCGAACGGUGUCUUCCGACAUAGUGGCGCACCGGUUCGUAACGCCUAACCAACCUGCCCCGAACAGGGGGAUAGCCCGCCGAAAGCCGGAUUAAUACCGCAUAUACCCGCAAGCUGGCAUCAGCCAACUGGGAAAGAUUUAUUGGUUCCGGAGGGGGUUGCGUGACAUUGGAUAGUUGGCGGGGUAACGGCCCACCAAGGCGACGAUGUCUAGGGGACCUGAGAGGGUGAUCCCCCACACUGGCACUGAGAUACGGGCCAGACUCCUACGGGAGGCAGCAGUAGGGAAUAUUGGGCAAUGGACGAGAGUCUGACCCAGCAAUGCCGCGUGCCGGAUGAAGGCCUUCUGGGUUGUAAACGGCUUUUCUCAGGGAAGAAAACGACCAUGCGUGGUACACUGACGGUACCUGAGGAAUAAGCACCACUAACUCCGUGCCAGCAGCCGCCGUAACAC